AGCUCUUCAUUGGGUCAGCUAUCGUAAUUUAGAAAGAGAGCUGCCAAAUGAAGGGCUGU
rnacentral:pre_miRNA from 1 species